GAUGAGCGCUGGCGGCGUGCCUAAUACAUGCAAGUCGAGCGAACAGACGAGGAGCUUGCUCCUUUGACGUUAGCGGCGGACGGGUGAGUAACACGUAGGUAACCUACCUAUAAGACUGGGAUAACUUCGGGAAACCGGAGCUAAUACCGGAUAAUAUUUCGAACCGCAUGGUUCGAUAGUGAAAGAUGGCUUUGCUAUCACUUAUAGAUGGACCUGCGCCGUAUUAGCUAGUUGGUAAGGUAACGGCUUACCAAGGCAACGAUACGUAGCCGACCUGAGAGGGUGAUCGGCCACACUGGAACUGAGACACGGUCCAGACUCCUACGGGAGGCAGCAGUAGGGAAUCUUCCGCAAUGGGCGAAAGCCUGACGGAGCAACGCCGCGUGAGUGAUGAAGGUCUUCGGAUCGUAAAACUCUGUUAUUAGGGAAGAACAAAUGUGUAAGUAACUAUGCACGUCUUGACGGUACCUAAUCAGAAAGCCACGGCUAACUACGUG
rnacentral:rRNA from 1 species